rnacentral:lncRNA from 1 species
GAAACCACAGAGCCUAGGGCUUGCCGAUCAGAAGGUCAGUGGUUCAAAUCCCUGCGACGGGGUGAGCUCCUGUUGCUUGGUCCCUGCUCCUGGCAACCUAGCAGUUCGAAAGCACGUCAAAGUGCAAGUAGAUAAAUAGGUACUGCUCCAGCGAAAAGGUAAACGGUGUUUCCAUGCACUGCUCUGGUUCGCCAGAAAUGGCUUAGUCAUGCUGGCCACAUGACCCGGAAGCUGUAUGCCGGCUCCCUUGGCCAGUAAAGCGAGAUAGUACCGCAACCCCAGAGUCGUUCACAACUGGACCUAACGGUCAGGGGUCCCUUUACCUUUACCUUUACCUCCAUGUUACACUAAAUUUCAAAUAGUAGAAAAGAACUGUAUGCUGUUAUAUAUAUAUACCCCAAAUUUCAUCAUACAAAAUUGUAACACAAAACUCUCAUGAUGUUCUGAUAUAAUGAGGUUGCAAAAGGUUUUUCUUUCUGAAAACAAUUAGCAUGGAAAUGAGCACUAAACCUCUGAUAGAUUUUCAGGAGAACAGAGAACUUUGAAGGAUACCUGUGUUUCAGUUUGCAUUUUGUUUUGAAAAGUGUGAAUUAAGUAGGCUCACAUUAAAAUCUGAAUCAAUCUGAAUUUUUCUUCUAUCUCUAGCUGCAGGCCUUAAUGUGACAAAUAAAGUGCUCCACAAAUAAAACCCUAAUGUUUAAUAAUUGCAUUUCUUUUACCUAAAAUAAUGUUUCUUCCAUUCUCCUGCCCUCCUUUCAAUGUGUUUUAAAGAAAGCACUCCCAAGCUUCAAGCUGCUCACUUAGAUUUACAACCAAACUGGGCACAACAUUUUCUGGCAGGACAGAUGCAAGACAAUGUAUUCUUUUAGCUAUCAAGAGGUCCUUCAGUAGCAGAUUUAACCUAGUCAAUUAAGUGUAUAAAGAAAUCUCUGCCGCUGGAUAAGGUAACUAAGUGUGUGGGGAGCAACUUGUGGUUACAUUUAAAACAUGCAAUUUUUACUCCCUGUUUAAGUAAAGGAAACAAUAAUGGGGACCUUAAUUGCAAAAAAUUACCACUGUUCCUUUGAGUUUGACAUGUGCUUAAUGACAAGGCGGAUGGAAACAUUAAGGGUAAUGCUGCUUGGCAGACAAUUGGAGCUGAUAAUCACCCUCAUAAAGCUAUUGAUAGUAAUCUAUGGACGUAUUCUGCUAAUUCCAAGCAGAAGUGGCUCAUUGUGCAGAGUUAAGAUGCUGCCUGCUGCAGCAAAACAAUAAAGGAUACAGCGUUCACAUAGUUCUAAGGACUCCUUGAGGGAUGAUUACUUAAAGAUGCAAAAUGCUAGUUCAGUCAUUACCACCACCAUCAGAGGUGAACACUUUUUUUGCAACAUGCUGAGUUUCCAUAUGAUAGCACAGUAUUUGCUAGGGGAGCUUGUGCAUGUCCACAACUUUGGUUAAGAUUUGAAAGCCAAGAUUGCUCUGGUUGUCUGUGGCAUGAUCCCCACUUUCAAAGGGCUUCCCCUGCUGUGGCAAAGCGGGUUCUUCCCUUCUUCAUUCCAGCAAGGGAAGCCUUUAAAAACGAUGAUCAUGCUUGUGUUAACACUGCAUGCACACUCAUGUCAUGCCCACUUGUAGUAUGCACUCUUGUAGUAUACACUCAGCCACUGCCGCAGGUUGACCUCAGUGGGGAAAAGGAUGUUCAUCUCUGCAAUAAGAACUUUUUCAGAGGGCCCAGCCAGGCAAGUGUCCUUGGUGAGUCCUGCCAGGACACUGGAACUCUGGCUUUGAGGGUACCUGGUGAGGACAGCACCCCCAUGUGCACAACAGAUUGGCACAGAAAACCAUUUGUUUUCAUUUUGCUUUUUUACUUCAAGUCUCUUGUUGCUGGUUCUUAAUAUCUUGAGAGGUUGCCUAUAUAUAUACUUGUGGGUGGCCUGAACAUCUGAUCUGCUCUAUUAAUGGUCAAAGAUCGCCAUGAAAUACUCCAUAUCCUUUUACUUUGUGCUCAACUAUCCUUCCUGAAAAGUCAAUAGCUUUCAUAGUUUUAAUACUUUCGCACGCAGCAUGGAGAAUUGAAACUGAUCAGAAAACAGCACUUUCCACUUAAUUUGGUAAUCUGUAACCUCCUAAGUGCUACAUUACAGGAAAGGGGGAAACAAUAAUUUCACUAGUAAAACGUGACUUCUUUUCUAGGACAAACUAGGCUAAGGGGAACAGCAACACGGUGAAAUUUCAAUGGCCCAGAACUAUGCUUGCUGUAUAAGGGAAGGCAAACUCGAUUCUAUCUAAGGUAUAGAUUUCCAUUCUGACCCAAAUUAAUCACAUCAUAGGUGACAACUCCCUGGGGCUCUGGGUGCCCGAGCACCCACAAAUUCCCCAUGAAGGGGCCAGGCACCCACAAAUUUUGGUGCCAGGGCCAUGCACCACAGUCCCAGGCACCCACAGUCACAAGGCCAAGUUGGCACUCCUGAAUCACACGCAGCACUGUUUCCAUGCCACUAGAGUUUCACUUAUGGGACGCGGGUGGCGCUGUGGGUAAAACCUCAGCGCCUAGGACUUGCCGAUCGUCAGGUUGGCAGUUCGAAUCCCCGUGGCGGGGUGCGCUCCCGCUGCUCGGUCCCAGCACCUGCCAACCUAGCAGUUCGAAAGCACCCCCGGAUGCAAGUAGAUAAAUAGGGACCGCUUACUAGCGGGAAGGUAAAUGGCGUUUCCGUGUGCUGCGCUGGCUCGCCAGAUGCAGCUUGUCACGCUGGCCACGUGAACCGGAAGCGCUGGCCCCCGGCCUCUUAAGCAAGAUGGGCACGCAACCCCAGAGUCGGACACGACUGGCCCGUAUGGGCAGGAGUACCUUUACCUUUACCUUUACAGUUUCACUUGCGGCAAAAAUGAAGUUAUUGGGCUCACUGCUCACCACAGUGGAAUUUUAUGUAAUCAGUUACAUUAUCAUGAUGUUAUUCCACAUCAUGCAUUUCAGUGCCAAGGAAAUGUAAUGCAAAUGUGGGGUGUGUGAGCGUGUGUCUCAACAUUUGCAACCGAAAACAACAGUAGUUAAAUACCAGUUGUAUUGGCUGGAUGUGGGAAGAACAAAUGAAUAUCAGCAGUUUCCACUCCAGUUUCCAUCAGAAUUCUCUGACAUCCAUGCCACACACAUGCACAAACGUAUUCACUUAGUAUGAAUCUUUCCUGACUUUAUUUAUUUAACAGGAUUUAUACACUGCUUAAUCAUCAUAACAUCUAAGCAGUUUAAAUAAAACAAUUUAAAUUAAAAUACUGGGGGGGAAAUCAGAUGUUGAAAACAAAAUUGACCCAAAAUAUUCAAACUUUGAAUAAAAUCAGCAGGGUUUUUUUAAAAAGAAAAUGUGUAAUAAAAUAAAUGUACAUGUCCGGACAGGCUUACCUAAACAAAACAAUUUUUUAGCAGGUGCCAAAAAUAACACAUUGAAGGUUCCUGCCUAAUAUCAAUAGUAAGGGAGCUCCAGUGUGUGGGUGAUGCCACAAUGGAGGACUUAUUCCUUGCAAGCAUGGAGCAAACAUUAUGUGGCAUUUCCGACAGUGCUGGAGUUAUGUGGGUCUCUGGGUCACUCCUUGGGGUGAGCAGGCCCUGCAAAAUCGCUUCCAAAUGUAAGUCAUAAGUAAUGGUUUAAUGAUCUCAAGGAAAACAAUCUAGGCUUCUCAUUUUAGUUUGGAUUGGGUCCUAGUGAUGACACCACUACCUCACACCAUGACUACAACUCAGGGUCUCCUGCCACUGUGCAUUACUUACUGCCAUGCCAUCAUCUGUUUCGUAAGCUUUUUCAUAAACAAACAAGGUCCCUCAGCAAAAGACAGUUCCUGCUCCACUCCCCAUUUUUAGUCCAUUUGCUUUCAGGUAAGCACCUGAGGGCUCUGAUUUUGUCUUAAAAUGGGAUUAAGUCCAAGGCUUCCCAGAAGUGUUGGCGUUGAGGAGGGAUUUUGAAGGAAUCGAGGUGGACCAUCUAAGUAUUUUGAAAAGGCACACAAUGCACAGAGGCCAGAAGAGAGGCAACUGGGAAGGUCAUUAAGCGAGCAGGUGCAUUUCAGGUGACUAUGUGUAGUGCAGUUGGAAGAAUGUCACACGGUCAAGGUAAUGUGGGUAUUAACUUGUUUUCUCCACCUGUUUGCUGAGCUUUGUCCAUAAAGAACUGCUUGAAUCAGCAUCUUGAUCAAGAAAUAUCCAUAAAAUACUUAGGCAGCAGAGUUUCUGUUCCUACUUUUCCCUUUAUGGGAAAAGUCUCUGCUGAUACUGCCAUUUUGCAAAGCCCUGAAGCACUCUAUAGUUGUGAUCUAGGUUGCAGGUUUGAUCCCUGUAUGGUACAGCUGCAUAUUCCUGCAAUACAGAGGGUUGGACUAGAUGAUUCUCAGGGUCCCUUCCAACUCUACAAUUCCAUGAUUCUAAGAACGCUUCCUAUAAACAUGAAAAAUGAAUACUUCCCUCAAUGCAGUUGUGUUAGAACAACACUUACGUGUUUGGUAGAAGUGCGAAUUUCAAGGGUUUCAUAAUAAGGAUAGAUAACAAACAAGAAUGUGAGAUGUGGGUGGGUGUAAUGUAAAAGCAUUAAAAAUGUUCCUCCAGUGAUUACAUUCUUUGCUUUUUUAUUAUACACAAAGGGUUGUAUCUAUAAUGUUUUAAAGUAGUUAUAUGCACCAUAGCCAGAUAUGAUUCAUUUGGCCAUUGCAUUAACAUUUUAGUGCCGUUUUAUCUAAGAGUUCAUGGUAUGUUUUUAAAACCCUGGCUUAAUGGAAGCCAAUCAAUCAUCACAUUUUUCAAAGCACAAAUUAUUUUAAAUUUUUGUACUACACGGAGAUAAUCACUGCAGAAAGAUAUGCAUAUCCUAGUGUUUUGACUGAUGUCAUUCAUUUUUCUUGAGGCUGACCCGUAUGAUGGUUUAAGUGCUGAAGUUAAGCAGGCAAAUGGAUGUGUUUUUCUGGGGUGUUUCCACUACAGCUGCCUUUUUAGCUCUAAAAAUGCCAAAUGUCUGAUAGCAAUAUGCAGCUGCUGCUCCUCAUAGGAACAAAAUUAACUGGAGUGAUCACUGACAGCCUAUGCUUGCUCCUUUUCAUCAUUUCUCCCAUAAAUGAAGACCCAACACAUUUUUUUCAGAAAUGUGAGUAUGGGGUACAGUCCCAGACAGGAACGUAAUAAGUUGCCUUCUACCAUGCUGGACUCUUGGACCAUCUACAUCAGUACAGACCACACUGACUGACAGUGGCUCUCCAGGGUUCAGACGGGAGAUAUCUAGGGCUACCUAGACAAUUCAGGGUUUGAACCUGGAAGCUUCUGCAUGCAAAGCAGAUGCUCUACCAGAGUUGCACCCCUUCCCUGAAAAACUGGAAAGCUCAUUGGAAAUGUUUACAUGCACACACUUCUCUCCAUCUUCCAUCCAGGCAAGCAAGAGGCAUUAUGGCUGUCCAAGGGCACAACUGGACAGGGCAAAGCACCUGAGAAGAGUGCGCAGCAGAUCUGAAUAGAGGUGUGGUGUAGGGAGGGGGAGCGAAGUGGCAAGGGUCACCAGGGUUGAAGAGAAAGGUCUGGGAGGAGAUGCACAUUUGGUCCUCUGGACCUGAACUUCCCCACUCCAGACCUACUGGUGAUGAUCAUGGCCCUCUGAUUCUCAAUGGUUUAACAGUCAUAACAGUGGAAAGGCUUUCUUUGCUUUUAAGUUAGGCUGCUGAAAGGGGAGCUUGGCAAGAAGCCCAGAAAUAGAUUUUCAUGAAGAGGAACUGUGAGCUCAGCUUAGAUACUUGGGCAGAAGAUGCGCUCAGGGGAGGUCAAAAAGUUGAGUUGUCAAAUGGUCAGCUUCACAUUGGAGAGAAGGGCAAGUGGUGCCCAUAACUGUGGGACUUGAAGAGGAACAUUUGUCCUUUAAAGAGUUGGCAGGUGACGGGAGGGGGGGGCCUGACCACUGACAGAGGGACAGUGGUGGUGUUUGUAUUUGGUUGGUUGGUUUCCGUUUAUUUCUUCAACUACCCAAGGCAGUGACAGCAGUAGAGCUUUUCAUAGUGGCUGCCAUCUUUCUCCCUUGGAAUGCCCUGGAAUUGUGCUACAUCCUAUCAUUUUGAGGAAGCUUCUGGGGAUACAAAAUGGCAACCCCAACUAGUCAUUACAUUUGAUCCCAGAAGGCCCCUUAGAACAAUACAGUUCUUCAUAAUGAAUCCUAGGGUCGUGCAGGGAAGAGAAGAUGGUGGCUGGUGGCUGAAGGCUGUUGGGAAGAGCUCUGGCACUGCUUCCCCACCAAAGUCAAGAUCAGCCAUCAGUUCCACUGCUGUCCCACCAUGAUCAAUAAACCUGAAGGAAAGGUGGGGUAUAAAUGGUUUUUU